UCCCUGGUGGUCCAGUGGUUAGGACUUGAAGCUUUCACUGCCAGGGGCCGGGUUCAAUCCCUGGUCAGGGAA
rnacentral:tRNA from 1 species